AAAUAAUAAAUAUUAUAAUAGUUUAAUAAUAAAAUAAAGAAAUAAAAUAAAGAAAUAAAUGAAAUAUAAAGAAAUGAAAAGAAAAACAAAGCUAACGAAACAGAGAAGAACAGGGGAGAAAGAAAGGAAAGAAAGAAAGAAAGGGAGAAAAGGGAAAAUCAAGGUUUUGAAGCUUUAAACUUUAAUAGUCAAUGUGGUACCAAAAAUCUCGGCUAAGGAAGGACAAGACAAAGUCGACGGGAGUUAGCUCGAAAAUUAUGGUUAAGUUAAGGCUAGACUGUCGAAUCAGCAUUCCAGGCCGAUCCCGAAUUCAAUGAGGUAAAGUAUGUUGAGUAUUGAUAAUGGCAUGUACCUAGGAUGUUUAAUGAGAGUCAUUUAAGUUGUAAAAGUAUUGAUGAACUAAGUAAAUUAUGGUUGGCAACGGUAUAUAGUAUGAAUUUUGAAAUAUAAAAAAAAAAUUCGUAUUGAUUCUAAA